rfam:Bombyx mori DNA, contig: Bm_scaf55_contig27648, strain: p50T/Dazao, build 2, whole genome shotgun sequence.
UUAACUCAAAUUUGUAUGGAGUUGAUACAGCUUGCCUUCGUUUGCCGCUAGGGGCGCUGUUCGAACUUCAUACAAAUUUGAGUUA